rnacentral:rRNA from 1 species
UGGGGAAUAUUGCACAAUGGGCGCAAGCCUGAUGCAGCAACGCCGCGUGAGGGACGACGGCCUUCGGGUUGUAAACCUCUUUUAGUAGGGAAGAAGCGAAAGUGACGGUACCUGCAGAAAAAGCACCGGCUAACUACGUGCCAGCAGCCGCGGUAAUACGUAGGGUGCGAGCGUUGUCCGGAAUUAUUGGGCGUAAAGAGCUCGUAGGCGGUCUGUCGCGUCUGCUGUGAAAACCCGAGGCUCAACCUCGGGCCUGCAGUGGGUACGGGCAGACUAGAGUGCGGUAGGGGAGAAUGGAAUUCCUGGUGUAGCGGUGGAAUGCGCAGAUAUCAGGAGGAACACCGAUGGCGAAGGCAGUUCUCUGGGCCGUAACUGACGCUGAGGAGCGAAAAGCGUGGGGAGCGAACAGGAUUAGAUACCCUGGUAGUCCACGCCGUAAACGUUGGGCGCUAGAUGUGGGGACCAUUCCAC